CAUCUGGAGGAUUUCAGACGGAUACAUUUUUGGAUUGACGAUUAUGAGCGGUUGCAAAGCUUUAAGCUUUCUCCAUAGACAAAGGGAUAAAAAAAGAAAUCGCGGCGGAGUCUGAUGGACUCGAGCAAAGGAGGAGAAGAGGAAUAGUAGAUGCCAUGGAAGAUGACAAGAUUCGUGCAAGGAAGACGUAAGUCUCUGCCACCCCAUUCUUUGAACUACUCAGUAGCAACAUCGGUAUGUAUGUGAAAUAGACAUCUUAUCUGUUCCAAAAGGAACUAUUGAUCGAUUACAAUCCCGUCGGAGCAGAAAUCACACUUCAAAUCAACAACUGGAAUUGCUUGAGACUACAGCAAGAUUAUCCAUCGACACAGAACAAUCCUGCUGAUUUGAGAGAGACGACAACAGAGAACUAUCCCAAACAACCUGCGU
rnacentral:lncRNA from 1 species